rnacentral:lncRNA from 1 species
UUGUGAGCUCGUUGGCGUUUAUCAUUAAUCUCAAUAGCUUAAAUUAGUAAAAAUAUGUAACUAUCUAAUUCAUUUAAAACGUACGCACAAUGUUUACGAAUUUUGAUUGUGACUUGGUCCAACCAGUUUCAUGCCACUUUGAAACAUGACUCAACUAUUCUGAAUGUGAUUCGGCCUAACCUAAUCUUUCAUCACAGGGCAGGAUGUUGAGCAUUCUUUUUGUAACUUUUUUGAAUUGUAAGUGUACAACUUCUCCCAUCCAACCCUCUUUUUUUCUUUUUCUUUUUUUCUGCUUGUCUUUUUUUCACUAAAAAUAUGAAAGGAGUUAGUAAAGUAUAAUCUUUGAAUUAAGAUUUGUAGAAAUUAUAAUUUUUUGAGGGCUUUACGUACUGAGCCCCCUUCAGAAAAUUUUUUUUUACAAAUAGUUUCACAAAAUUAAUUAUAUUUACGCAAUUGGUUCUAUCCUCAUCACGCAAGAAUGACUGGCCGCUCAGAGUUUAAGUUGAAUAAGAUGAACCAUUCACCGCGUAACAACAUCUAAUACAACAAAUACGGGAAAUAUGAAAAGAACACAAUAUAAAUAAAAUAUGAAAAUGACACAAUAAAUCAUUCACCAUGUCCAAACACGGUGAAUGGUUUAUCGAGUUCAACUCAACUAGUCACGCACACGUGGUGCUCACUGUAUGGUAAUUGUAUGACAGGAAUAAGAUCAAUAUUGUAAAUAUAAAUUUUAUAAAAUUAUUUAUGAAAAUUAUUUUUUUUGAGUAGACUAAGAGCAAAAAGAAAAA